rnacentral:rRNA from 1 species
GAGGGUUUGAUCCUGGCUCAGAUUGAACGCUGGCGGCAGGCCUAACACAUGCAAGUCGAGCGGAUGAAGGGAGCUUGCUCCUGGAUUCAGCGGCGGACGGGUGAGUAAUGCCUAGGAAUCUGCCUGGUAGUGGGGGAUAACGUCCGGAAACGGGCGCUAAUACCGCAUACGUCCUGAGGGAGAAAGUGGGGGAUCUUCGGACCUCACGCUAUCAGAUGAGCCUAGGUCGGAUUAGCUAGUUGGUGGGGUAAAGGCCUACCAAGGCGACGAUCCGUAACUGGUCUGAGAGGAUGAUCAGUCACACUGGAACUGAGACACGGUCCAGACUCCUAC